rnacentral:SRP_RNA from 1 species
UUCUUAGACCUGUGCAAUAUUAUUUUUUAAGAAUCGCUUCAGGGUGGGAACACAGCAGAGCACUUGAUUUUAGUGUGUGCCGCAGUUAUCUGGGGAAGG